rnacentral:rRNA from 1 species
GAUGAACGCUGGCGGCGUGCCUAACACAUGCAAGUCGAGCGAUUCUCUUCGGAGAAGAGCGGCGGACGGGUGAGUAACGCGUGGGUAACCUGCCCUGUACACACGGAUAACAUACCGAAAGGUAUGCUAAUACGAGAUAAUAUGCUUUUAUCGCAUGGUAGAAGUAUCAAAGCUCCGGCGGUACAGGAUGGACCCGCGUCUGAUUAGCUAGUUGGUAAAGUAACGGCUUACCAAGGCGACGAUCAGUAGCCGACCUGGGAGGGUGAUCGGCCACAUUGGAACUGAGACACGGUCCAAACUCCUACGGGAGGCAGCAGUGGGGAAUAUUGCACAAUGGGCGAAAGCCUGAUGCAGCAACGCCGCGUGAGCGAUGAAGGCCUUCGGGUCGUAAAGCUCUGUCCUCAAGGAAGAUAAUGACGGUACUUGAGGAGGAAGCCCCGGCUAACUACGUGCCAGCAGCCGCGGUAA